CAAAUUUGUGACCAGAUACAACUGACCUGUGUUCUUGGUAUUACAGUUUGACUCCUUUAUUAUCCUUCAGCAUGAAGGCGGUUUUGUACUGUUAUAAUUUAUCACCCUUGCUUUCCUUUUUCAAGAAAAUAAUUCAUCACAUUUUAUAUUCAUCAAGAAUGACUACUAUACCAUAAAGUAAAUAAUUAUCAUUACCCAUAGAGAUUGCUAUCUUCUACGCAAAGCAGAUGGUAUG
rnacentral:lncRNA from 1 species